AUGAUGACCUUGACCCUGCAGGUCUUUUCUCCUGCGUCCCAGUACGAAUUGUCAAUAUUGAAUGACAUAAAGUCUGAUUUCAGGGCUGUUGUGCCCACUGCUGCCUUGCUGUUUUCAAGAUGCAUUUUGCCUACCAGCUUUCUGUUGCUUUAUGGAGAAAACUGACCCUGCAGACACGUAUAUGGGUGUGGUCUCUAACACUGCAUUCCAUCUUUGAGCCAUUCUGCAAUGACACAUGUGACUGUUCAUUUAACAGGUUCAAUACAGGAGAUGAGCAUCAUUUCAGCAAGAAAACAUGAACUGCUGGUGUCACCAAACAGUUUUCAACCAUGCAGUUUCUGCUGUGGCAGAUUGCCAGGAUAAAGUGACCCAAAAAGUGGAUGGGAGCUUAGACCCCCUGCACAAAUGGCAAUCACCAGUGGGAUCCAGACUGCAUUCUCCCAGGAAUUUAGGAUGCAGGGUCCCCAGGUGAUGGUAGCUGAGUCUUCUCUUGAGUGAAGCCUUGUAGUAAUCCCUGAAGACUUGGUUUCAGCUUCUCUUAUUCUCGAUUUGAGUGCUUUCACAUCUGUGCUGAUUAUAAGAUUAUAAAGUCCUUAUUCUGGGAAGAUUAAAGAGAAAUAAAAACUAAUAGGAAAAAAAAAAAGAAAGAAAACCUUUACAAAGGAACAACACACCAGAAACAGCAAUAGAGGAACACUGGUGAGGGGAAAUCGUUUUUUUUUUUUGAAGAAAAGGAUAAUGGCAUCUGGGGAAUGGGUUUACCACAAAAACUCACUCCCUCUGAACAUUUCUUAAACCAGCUGUGUGUCUUUUUUGUACUGUCUCCACUUUGAACAGAGACAGGCAAGAGUAAGAGGUUAAGUUACUUCCUUCAGCACCAGCCCAGAGAUUCUCUGAGUUGUGUUGGUCUCAGCUCCUGGAGCACUCUGUUUUCUCAGGGAAGGUAUGACAUUACUGCCAAGACACAGGUGGCUUAUGUCUUGGUGCUGGAUUUUUUUCUUUUAUCACAAAUCCUGCAGAGGUGGUGUUGAAAAGCUUAUGCAGGUCCAAAAUGUUUAGUGACAGUACUAAGGGCUCAGAGCCAGCAACAAGUGUGACCUUUCAGUGCAGGCACCUGGAACUGGCACCAUGAAUGACAAUGGAAGAAAAAAAUUCUUCAAAGAGCAGGAGCUCGUUUAAUUUCCCUUUACAUUCACUGGACUGAUGAACACAAUUAACAGCUGCUUCACUGAGAGGAGUUUUCACUCAGUUAUUUCUUUCAUCUCAGACUUUGACCCAUUCAAUAACUGUUUUUACAUGCUGACUUUCACAUCAUUGACUGUUCUUCCCAACCCUGCAUAGUAGCAACAAAGGGAUUACAGUAAAGUCAUUGAUUUUUACUCUUUCCUUGCUGCAUGCUUACUUUUUUAAUAAGUGCAGUAAUUUCCCCUGACAUGCUGAGAUGUGUUCUACAUCUUUCAUAGGACAAUGUAUGUAUCUGAUCAAAUACAUCAGCCAGGUAAGCCAGCUGACACAUCUACUGCUGUUCAGAAAAUAGAUUCUGCAUUGAGUUAACUACCAGAAAAGCAAAUCUCCAUUAUUUCAAAGAGCAGUAAGAUUGCCCUCGAUACUCAUUUCCUAUCAGUGUGGGACAGAUAAAGCGUUGAAGUGGAAGUCAGAAAUCUAUUGAAUGGCUCAUUGACUUGGGACAAUUUGGAAUGGUUUGUCCUUGUGCUUCUUGACUGUGUGUCUACUUCUGUACCAUAAUAACUCUGUGGAGGAGAAACCAUUUCUGUGCUUGUUUGUACAACCUCUGUUUUGCUUGGAGUCUCCAGGUAAUUUGAAAUAUGUCUCACUAUAAACAAAACUGUGAAACAUUGCAGCUCCCACCUGUUUUGUUCCAAAUUUCACAGGAGUAAAUAACUUUGCCUUACAGCAAAUGCAGUCCCGUGGUUUGGAUUAAAAUGAUAUGCAAUUCCAGUUGUCAUACCCUGAGGCCUCAAAACCUAUUUCCUUGGGUACUGCUUCUUUAAGCCUUCUAAAGCAAAAAAAAUGCUUCGUUUUUUUUUCAGAGCUCAAAGUCGACAAAUGCGAAUGUGAAUUAGUCCAGUCCAAAUAAGCAGACUAAACGUGGUAAUAUUAAGGUGGGUAAAUAGCUGGUGUAGUGGAUAAAGUUGAUGGAGUAACGUUGGUGAGCAGAGAAUUCACUUAAACAGUAACCAGAGUAAUGAAAGCUU